rnacentral:tRNA from 1 species
UAGAUUGAAGCCAGUUGAUUAGGGUAUUUAGCUGUUAACUAAAAUUUCGUGGGAUCAUACCCCACCAAUCUAG